AGCGAACGCUGGCGGCAGGCCUAAUACAUGCAAGUCGAACGCCCCUUCGGGGGAGUGGCGGACGGGUGAGUAACGCGUGGGAAUAUGCCCUAUGGUGCGGAACAACUGAGGGAAACUUCAGCUAAUACCGCAUGUGCCCUACGGGGGAAAGAUUUAUCGCCAUAGGAGUAGCCCGCGUUGGAUUAGCUAGUUGGUGGGGUAAUGGCUCACCAAGGCUACGAUCCAUAGCUGGUCUGAGAGGAUGAUCAGCCACACUGGGACUGAGACACGGCCCAGACUCCUACGGGAGGCAACAGUAGGGAAUCUUGCGCAAUGGGCGAAAGCCUGACGCAGCCAUGCCGCGUGAAUGAUGAAGGUCUUAGGAUUGUAAAAUUCUUUCACCGGGGACGAUAAUGACGGUACCCGGAGAAGAAGCUCCGGCUAACUUCGUGCCAGCAGCCGCCGUAACAC
rnacentral:rRNA from 1 species